GAUGAACGCUGGCGGCGUGCCUAAUACAUGCAAGUCGAGCGAACAGACGAGGAGCUUGCUCCUCUGACGUUAGCGGCGGACGGGUGAGUAACACGUGGAUAACCUACCUAUAAGACUGGGAUAACUUCGGGAAACCGGAGCUAAUACCGGAUAAUAUAUUGAACCGCAUGGUUCAAUAGUGAAAGACGGUUUUGCUGUCACUUAUAGAUGGAUCCGCGCCGCAUUAGCUAGUUGGUAAGGUAACGGCUUACCAAGGCAACGAUGCGUAACCGACCUGUGAGGGGGAUCGGCCACACGGGAGCUGACGCACGGUCCGGGCUCCGACGGGAGGCAGAAGUAGGGAAUCUUCCGCAAGGGGGGAAAGCCUGACGAAGCAACGCCGCGUGAGUGAUGAAGGUCUUCGGAUCGUAAAACUCUGUUAUUAGGGAAAAACAAUUGUGUAAGUAACUAUGCACGUCUUGACGUAACCUAAUUAGAAAGCCAGGGCUAACUACG
rnacentral:rRNA from 1 species